UACGUAGGGGGCAAGCGUUGUCCGGAUUUACUGGGCGUAAAGAGCGUGUAGGCGGCCAAGCAGGUCCGUUGUGAAAACUGGAGGCUUAACCUCCAGACGUCGACGGAAACCGCGUGGCUAGAGUCCGGAAGAGGAGAGUGGAAUUCCUGGUGUAGCGGUGAAAUGCGCAGAUAUCAGGAAGAACACCAAUGGCGAAUGCAGCUCUCUGGGACGGUACUGACGCUGAGACGCGAAAGCGUGGGGAGCGAACAGG
rnacentral:rRNA from 1 species